rnacentral:rRNA from 1 species
UACAGAGGGUGCGAGCGUUGUCCGGAAUCACUGGGCGUAAAGGGCGCGUAGGUGGUUUGUUAAGUGUGUGGUGAAAGCCCGGGGCUCAACCCCGGGUCUGCCGUGCAGACUGGCAAACUUGAGCAUAGUAGAGGCAGGUGGAAUUUCGGGUGUAGCGGUGGAAUGCGUAGAUAUCCGAAAGAACACCGGUGGCGAAGGCGGCCUGCUGGGCUAUUGCUGACACUGAGGCGCGACAGCGUGGGGAGCAAACAGG